GAUGAACGCUGGCGGCGUGCCUAAUACAUGCAAGUCGAGCGAACAGACGAGGAGCUUGCUCCUCUGACGUUAGCGGCGGACGGGUGAGUAACACGUGGAUAACCUACCUAUAAGACUGGGAUAACUUCGGGAAACCGGAGCUAAUACCGGAUAAUAUAUUGAACCGCAUGGUUCAAUAGUGAAAGACGGUUUUGCUGUCACUUAUAGAUGGAUCCGCGCCGCAUUAGCUAGUUGGUAAGGUAACGGCUUACCAAGGCAACGAUGCGUAGCCGACCGGAGAGGGUGAUCGGCCACACUGGAACUGAGACACGGUCCAGACUCCUACGGGAGGCAGCAGUAGGGAAUCUUGCGCAAAGGGCGAAAGCCUGACGGAGCAACGCCGCGUGAGUGAUGAAGGUCUUCGGAUCGUAAAACUCUGUUAUUAGGGAAGAACAAAUGUGUAAGUAACUAUGCACGUCUUGACGGUACCUAAUCAGAAAGCCACGGCUAACUACGUG
rnacentral:rRNA from 1 species